AUGACUACUAGUUCAGCUGUGUAGGUGGAGGGAUGACUACCAGUUCAGCUGUGUAGGUGGAGGGAUGACUACUAGUUCAGCUGUGUAGGUGGAGGGAUGACUACUAGUUCAGCUGUGUAGGUAGAGGGAUGACUACUAGUUCAGCUGUGUAGGUGGAGGGAUGACUACUAGUUCAGCUGUGUAGGUGGAGGGAUGACUACUAGUUCAGCUGUGUAGGUGGAGGGAUGACUACUAGUUCAGCUGUGUAGGUGGAGGGAUGACUACUAGUUCAGCUGUGUAGGUGGAGGGAUGACUACUAGUUCAGCUGUGUAGGUAGAGGGAUGACUACUAGUUCAGCUGUGUAGGUGGAGGGAUGACUACUAGUUCAGCUGUGUAGGUAGAGGGAUGACUACUAGUUCAGCUGUGUAGGUGGAGGGAUGACUACUAGUUCAGCUGUGUAGGUGGAGGGAUGACUACUAGUUCAGCUGUGUAGAUGGAGGGAUGACUACUAGUUCAGCUGUGUAGGUGGAGGGAUGACUACUAGUUCAGCUGUGUAGGUAGAGGGAUGACUACUAGUUCAGCUGUGUAGGUGGAGGGAUGACUACUAGUUCAGCUGUGUAGGUAGAGGGAUGACUACUAGUUCAGCUGUGUAGGUGGAGGGAUGACUACUAGUUCAGCUGUGUAGGUGGAGGGAUGACUACCAGUUCAGCUGUCUUAGUGGAGGGAUGACUACUAGUUCAGCUGUGUAGGUGGAGGGAUGACUACUAGUUCAGCUGUGUAGGUGGAGGGAUGACUACUAGUUCAGCUGUCUUAGUGGAGGGAUGACUACCAGUUCAGCUGUGUAGGUGGAGGGAUGACUACCAGUUCAGCUGUGUAGGUGGAGGGAUGACUACUAGUUCAGCUGUGUAGGUGGAGGGAUGACUACUAGUUCAGCUGUGUAGGUGGAGGGAUGACUACUAGUUCAGCUGUGUAGGUGGAGGGAUGACUACUAGUUCAGCUGUGUAGGUGGAGGGAUGACUACUAGUUCAGCUGUGUAGGUGGAGGGAUGACUACUAGUUCAGCUGUGUAGGUGGAGGGAUGACUACCAGUUCAGCUGUGUAGGUGGAGGGAUGACUACUAGUUCAGCUGUCUUAGUGGAGGGAUGACUACUAGUUCAGCUGUGUAGGUGGAGGGAUGACUACCAGUUCAGCUGUCUUAGUGGAGGGAUGACUACUAGUUCAGCUGUGUAGGUGGAGGGAUGACUACUAGUUCAGCUGUGUAGGUGGAGGGAUGACUACCAGUUCAGCUGUGUAGGUGGAGGGAUGACUACUAGUUCAGCUGUGUAGGUGGAGGGAUGACUACUAGUUCAGCUGUGUAGGUAGAGGGAUGACUACUAGUUCAGCUGUGUAGGUGGAGGGAUGACUACUAGUUCAGCUGUGUAGGUAGAGGGAUGACUACUAGUUCAGCUGUGUAGGUGGAGGGAUGACUACUAGUUCAGCUGUGUAGGUGGAGGGAUGACUACUAGUUCAGCUGUGUAGGUGGAGGGAUGACUACUAGUUCAGCUGUGUAGGUGGAGGGAUGACUACUAGUUCAGCUGUGUAGGUGGAGGGAUGACUACUAGUUCAGCUGUGUAGGUGGAGGGAUGACUACUAGUUCAGCUGUGUAGGUGGAGGGAUGACUACUAGUUCAGCUGUGUAGGUAGAGGGAUGACUACUAGUUCAGCUGUGUAGGUAGAGGGAUGACUACUAGUUCAGCUGUGUAGGUGGAGGGAUGACUACUAGUUCAGCAGUGUAGGUGGAGGGAUGACUACUAGUUCAGCUGUGUAGGUGGAGGGAUGACUACUAGUUCAGCUGUGUAGGUGGAGGGAUGACUACUAGUUCAGCUGUGUAGGUGGAGGGAUGACUACCAGUUCAGCUGUGUAGGUAGAGGGAUGACUACCAGUUCAGCUGUGUAGGUGGAGGGAUGACUACCAGUUCAGCUGUGUAGGUGGAGGGAUGACUACUAGUUCAGCUGUGUAGGUGGAGGGAUGACUACUAGUUCAGCUGUCUAGGUGGAGGGAUGACUACCAGUUCAGCUGUGUAGGUGGAGGGAUGACUACUAGUUCAGCUGUGUAGGUGGAGGGAUGACUACUAGUUCAGCUGUGUAGGUGGAGGGAUGACUACUAGUUCAGCUGUCUAGGUGGAGGGAUGACUACCAGUUCAGCUGUGUAGGUGGAGGGAUGACUACUAGUUCAGCUGUGUAGGUGGAGGGAUGACUACUAGUUCAGCUGUGUAGGUGGAGGGAUGACUACUAGUUCAGCUGUGUAGGUGGAGGGAUGACUACUAGUUCAGCUGUGUAGGUGGAGGGAUGACUACCAGUUCAGCUGUGUAGGUGGAGGGAUGACUACUAGUUCAGCUGUGUAGGUAGAGGGAUGACUACUAGUUCAGCUGUGUAGGUGGAGGGAUGACUACUAGUUCAGCUGUGUAGGUGGAGGGAUGACUACUAGUUCAGCUGUGUAGAUGGAGGGAUGACUACUAGUUCAGCUGUGUAGGUGGAGGGAUGACUACUAGUUCAGCUGUGUAGGUGGAGGGAUGACUACUAGUUCAGCUGUGUAGGUGGAGGGAUGACUACUAGUUCAGCUGUGUAGGUAGAGGGAUGACUACUAGUUCAGCUGUGUAGGUAGAGGGAUGACUACUAGUUCAGCUGUGUAGGUAGAGGGAUGACUACUAGUUCAGCUGUGUAGGUGGAGGGAUGACUACUAGUUCAGCUGUGUAGGUAGAGGGAUGACUACUAGUUCAGCUGUGUAGGUGGAGGGAUGACUACCAGUUCAGCUGUGUAGGUGGAGGGAUGACUACUAGUUCAGCUGUGUAGGUGGAGGGAUGACUACUAGUUCAGCUGUGUAGGUAGAGGGAUGACUACUAGUUCAGCUGUGUAGGUGAAGGGAUGACUACUAGUUCAGCUGUGUAGGUGAAGGGAUGACUACUAGUUCAGCUGUGUAGGUAGAGGGAUGACUACUAGUUCAGCUGUGUAGGUGAAGGGAUGACUACUAGUUCAGCUGUGUAGGUGGAGGGAUGACUACUAGUUCAGCUGUGUAGGUGGAGGGAUGACUACCAGUUCAGCUGUCUAGGUGGAGGGAUGACUACUAGUUCAGCUGUGUAGGUAGAGGGAUGACUACUAGUUCAGCUGUGUAGGUAGAGGGAUGACUACCAGUUCAGCUGUGUAGGUAGAGGGAUGACUACUAGUUCAGCUGUGUAGAUGGAGGGAUGACUACUAGUUCAGCUGUGUAGGUAGAGGGAUGACUACUAGUUCAGCUGUGUAGGUAGAGGGAUGACUACUAGUUCAGCUGUGUAGGUAGAGGGAUGACUACUAGUUCAGCUGUGUAGGUAGAGGGAUGACUACUAGUUCAGCUGUGUAGGUAGAGGGAUGACUACCAG